UCGAGAGGUUGGCUCUUUACCCACUAGGCCACCACGACUUUUUUAUUUUUAUACAGUCCACAAGUAUUAUUUACAAAAUUCCCUUGAGGGCUCCUAUAUUGAGUCUUGGGUUGGACUUUUUUCAAAACAAUGGUGUUGUUAAAUACGUGAAUACCAUAUGCUUGCAUUUUUUAGACAAUAAGAUAAUUAAUUACAAUUCAAUUUACAGUUACAAGAGCUAUGGUGAAGCCGAAAGCAAAGGAUAGGAAAACUAGAGAGCAAAAGUUAACUCAGAAAAGACUUUAUAGAAGACAAAAGUAUGAAGAAAUUAAAAAGGAUCCUGAAAAGUAUGCAGCUCAAAAAGAAAAAGAUAGGUUACGAUAUUUGAAACGCAAAGAACAGAAUAAAAUAAAGAUGAUUAAAGACUUAACGCCACGACAACAAAGACAGAAAAGAAAACAAUGGAAUGAAAAUAGUCAACGAUAUAUAGAAAAGAAGAAAAAUAGAGCGAUAGAGCAAAUGUUCAUUGAUAAUUCUCCACCUACAAGUGAUUAUGAAGAAAUAGAUCCUCAAGUGCCUCAAGUUAAUGAAAUGCGCUGCAGCGGAGCGACGCGACAUUUUAAGUUCGACAUAUCGCACUAGAACUGCAGCGGCGCGACUACAUUCUACCCGUUAGUCGGUUGUAAGCCACUUACCGCGAUGGAUGAAAUUGAUGUGGACGCACGCAAACACACAUUUUAACACACGUUAAUUUUGCUUAGUUGCCCAACUUUGACGCGCGGUGUCGCGCAGCUUAGUUCUGUUGCCGCGUAGUGCGGUAUCUCUAAUACAUGUACUUAGAAACAAUAUUUUGCAGCGCAGUGUCGCGUCGCUCCGCCUUCUACUAACUACUAAGCUCAGGAGAAAGAAAUAAAACGAGAAAUAGAAGACUUCUUUGAUGAUGAUAGAAAUUGUAAAAUUGCUGCAGACAAAAAAUAAUGUAUAAAACAUUUAUUUCUUUCUUUAACUUAUCUUCAAAAGAUAUCAGUGUUUUAAUUGAAAUUAUUAAGCACCUAUGUAAAAAAGUUAAGUUUAUUUUAGUUCAUCUUAGGCCCGAGUUGUAUUUGAUUUUCCAAAUUAAUAAGACGUUAAAAAGUUUUAGUCUUUUAAUGUCUUUCAGAGCCCAUUUUUAGAUAAUUACCAGUAUAAAUGUGUCACUACCGUCUUCUCCGUUGUCAUUACCAUCACUAACAAAGCCAUUCCCGGUUAGAAAAAAAAAAUCGCUUAUAACUUCUAAGUUUAUGUGUGCAAUUAGUUAUUAUAUAAUUUAUGAAUUAUGCAAAUUUCAGACGUUAGAGUUGAUUUUUUAAGUUUAAAAAAUUCUCUCACUUUCGCCAAAUAUGCACGAAAUGAAAGAAUUACCCUGUAAGCAAGGUCAUUUCCAAAAUUUUAAAUUAAAUUUUCCGUGUAAUUUAUUUUAUUCAGCUUCGGAACCGCCCUAGAUCUGAACUUGCCGUACCAUAUCUGAACUGAAUCAUAUUUCUUAAGAUCAUUUGUGUCAUUAGUUGUCUCUUUACAAUAGCUUUGUUUGACCCAAUCUAGCAUUUGACAUUAAUAUUUGUAUUUUAUUAUAAAAAUAGAGUGUAGACUAGUGUUUAGAAAAUAUUUUAGUGAUAGUUGAAUAUUAUUUAAGUAUUUUAGUGGUUGCCUAUUUUCAGGAAAGAAAAAAAUCGUUGGCGGGAUUUUUCAAGUUAAAGAAGGAAAGAAAGUUUUAGUGUUAAAGAAUUUUGUCUACGUUGAAGAACAUAUAGCGAACCACAUAGUUAGGUGGAAAUGUUCAAGCAGUAGCUGUCCCGCUUAUAUACUUAUGAAUAUUUUUGAAAACUCCAAUAAAAUCGUUAAUGAGUUUACAGUACACAACCAUGGUACUACAGCUAGGUGGAGUGAUAACAAAAUUAUAUUCAAAGUUACAGUAUAACGAGCUAUUUAAUUUUAAGAUGUUAUUUCAUAAAAUGAUGCCAGUUCAUUUAAAAAUUUACACUUAAGCAUCCAUUAAUAGCCAUUAAUAGCGUUAAAAUUAUAUUAGCUAUGGAUACAAAUUUAAUAUUGAUUAAGGGAUUAUUUUUAGAAGGAUGCCCCAAGGCUUUAUUUUGGGCCAAGGUGGGAUUGAGGUUUUCUAGAACGUUCUUAAUGAAGAACGUCAAAUGAGAGCAAUAACGGUGUCUAUAGGACUCGAUACUCAAAUGUGUUAAAGAAUAUGUCUAGAGGAUAGUGGUAAAAGCUAAAAAAAGGACAAUCUAAAUAUUGCUAGUUGAUUUCAAUAAUAAUAUUUUUCAGUGCCUAAAGAGAAACUUUUGAAAAAUAUAUGGAUUUUUUGUAUGUAACUCGUGUUUUUCUUUUACUGAGACGAAUAACAGAUUACAACUUGGUAUGUUUUUCAACCAGGCCGGGCUUGGUAACAUUCGAAGCCAACCCUCUGGGCCCGGCCGGUCCGGCCCGGUCUAAAUAAAACAAUAUGAUGUAUAUUAAUUUAUUGUUACCUUUUGAACUCUAUUUCAGUACAAUUAAUCUCAGUACGAGGCAGACCCACCAAUAAACCUCUGAUGUUGAGGAAUGGAUUCACUUUUUACAAACAUUUUAAUCUGAAAUCAGGAGUUAGAUGGAGCUGUUCGAGAUCAUCUAAGUGUCGCGCGUAUGUCUUAGUGUCAGAAGAAGGCAGAGUCAUCAGAACUUCAGACGAACAUAAUCAUAAACCAUUGAACUAUCACAAAAUUUCUGAUGGCACAUAUGUUAGACUUUAGCUCUUGAGCCUUAACCUUGUAUUUUCUUGUAGUAUUGUCCAAAAAUCUGAUUAUAAAUAUGUUGGGAAAAUUGCAGAGCUCUAGAAUUCCGUUUGGUCUUUAUUUUAAUUUCAAUGUAAAGUCGAUAUUCAACUUGUCAAACCAACUCCAUUGAAUAAUUAAAUAAAAUUAUGCUUAAAAAUGAUCAGACUGUCUUUUAAAUCAGCCACCUAAUUCCUCAAGUUUUCUUGAAAACAUCUCGCCAACUUCAUAGUUCUUUGUUCGCAGUGAAGCUCAUAACCUUAAGCAAUACGGGCAAGCAAUAUCUGAUGAAGAACGGAUAUACUUACUAUCAGAGGAGGGUUUUGAAGACAGGUGUUAGAUGGAACUGCUCCAAAUCAGCUAAUUGUCGAGCUUUCCUCGUAGUCUCACAGGGACAAGUUACCAGAAGCUCCGAAAACCACUGUCAUGGCAAAACAAUGUAUUUCGAAAGUGGAGAUGGAACUUAUGUUAAAAUUUAAUAUAACUAUGGAUGUAUUACGGAUGUAUUCGUACUUUUCUUUCUUCUUAGGUUUAAGCCUUAAGUAGAUUAACCUCAAAAUAUUCAUUAUAAUAUGAUCAGGCUACAAAAAGUGAAAGGAGCGGAGAAAUUUUUCUCGGUUGAUUAAAAAUAAAAUUUCUCCGCUCAGGUAUACUAUUGAGUGGACACAAGAUGUUUCAAUAUUUAAAUUCAGUUGAUUAAAAAGAUAGAAUCUGGACCUUACUCCUCCAAAUAUUUUUUUCAAGUUUCAUACUACGUACAACAACGCAUUUUAUGUUGCAGUGAAACUGAUAACUGUACAUAAUACCGGAAAACAGUGCCUGAUGAAAGACGGCUUUACUUUCUAUCGGCACAGGGAGUUAAACGGCGGUGUCGUGCGCUGGCAAUGCACGUCCAAAUGUCUAGCGUACUUCUUAAUGAACCCUCAAGGAUAUAUAAUCAAAAUAGGACACAACCAUAAUCAUCCGAAGCCAACAUACCAUGUACUUCCUAGUGGACAUUAUUUAAAACUGUAACUUAAUUUACUGUAAUGUUAAAUACUUAUAUUAUACACGUCCUUCGUCCCUUAACAUUCUCAUGUCUAAUGGAUGCAGUUUUUUUUUCAUCCAUGACUUUUGUGCACAAUACUCUUAUCCGUACGGGACAUCUGGGCUGCCAAUGUCUUGAAAAACAUUUCAUGUCAUCAGUUUAUUAGGUCAAUUUGUACACACAUACGAGUAUUAUUCAAAGAAUAAGUUAAGAUAUAGUUGUCACGCUGAACUUAUCAAAUACAUUAAGGAUUAAUAUUAUAUUCACAUCUGUACUUAAAUGCUAGCAAAUAGCAUUUUGUUUAACUUUCAAAAGUAUGUCUUAUAGCGUCAAGGUAUAGUAAAUCUGUCAUUUAAAAUUAAACAUCUUUUACCAUAAAUACAAUUUUCCUCUGAAAUUACAAUCGAAUAUUUGUGGAAUUCCAUAAUGAUUUCUGUGUGCAUAAAAUACAAAUAAACCGUAAUAUACAUGUCCGUAUAUGUCAACUUUUAUUUCAAUUAAAACCUUCACAUUCUGUUUGUUUCAGUCAAAAUGAUAACCAUUGACAAGUCCCUUGUGCAGUACCUAAUGAUCGAUGGCUACGUGUUCUACAAACACAAUCAGACUCUAAAGAAUGAUGAUGUUAGGUGGCAAUGUACUCACAACUGCAAAGCACAUGUGUUUGUUUCACAAGACGGAUAUAUAAACUACAAACUCAAAUUAUAACAAUGGCGGGAGGGAAGUCGUGCAUCAAUUAUGAAGGUUAUACGUUCUUCUUUCGUUACAAGACAAAUACUGCCAACGUUUGGUGUUGCACCUGUUUUCCCAAGUGCAAAGCCAAAUUACUGGUUGAUGCAGACGACGUGAUUUUAAAAAUGAAAAAUUCACAUGAUCAUCCUAAGAGAGGACUCUUUCGCACCGCUAACGGGACGUACAUAAAAUAUUAGUUUAUUACUUAAGCUUUGGAAAAAACUGUAUACCAGUUUUUCAAGCAUUAAUUACAAUUCAUGUCAUUUUGGUACUUUCUGAAUAUUGUUAUACAAUAGAUAUUUUAUUGAGAUUUCUUUUUAGUUUUUAGAUUCCUUUUUAGUUGUCACUUUUGCUUCUAGACCAAUUAUUAUGAUGUGAAAGAUGUAGAAUUAUUUUUAAUUAAGGAAUUAUUUUAUUUAUAUAAAGAUGCAAUUUCGUUUGGAGAAUUCAUCAACAUUGAUAAAGGUGCCUUCUAAAUAUCUAAGGAUAUUGUUAUUAUAAAAAUUGUAAUAAAACACUUUUAUACAUAAAAAA
rnacentral:lncRNA from 1 species